rnacentral:rRNA from 1 species
AUGUGUUGUUGGGUAGGGGAGCGUUCUGUAAGCCUGUGAAGGUGGCCUGUGAGGGUUGCUGGAGGUAUCAGAAGUGCGAAUGCUGACAUAAGUAACGAUAAAGCGGGUGAAAAGCCCGCUCGCCGGAAGACCAAGGGUUCCUGUCCAACGUUAAUCGGGGCAGGGUGAGUCGACCCCUAAGGCGAGGCCGAAAGGCGUAGUCGAUGGGAAACAGGUUAAUAUUCCUGUACUUGGUGUUACUGCGAAGGGGGGACGGAGAAGGCUAUGUUGGCCGGGCGACGGUUGUCCCGGUUUAAGCGUGUAGGCUGGUUUUCCAGGCAAAUCCGGAAAACCAAGGCUGAGGCGUGAUGACGAGGCACUACGGUGCUGAAGCGACAAAUGCCCUGCUUCCAGGAAAAGCCUCUAAGCAUCAGGUAACAUCAAAUCGUACCCCAAACCGACACAGGUGGUCAGGUAGAGAAUACCAAGGCGCUUGAGAGAACUCGGGUGAAGGAACUAGGCAAAAUGGUGCCGUAACUUCGGGAGAAGGCACGCUGAUAUGUAGGUGAAGCGACUUGCUCGUGGAGCUGAAAUCAGUCGAAGAUACCAGCUGGCUGCAACUGUUUAUUAAAAACACAGCACUGUGCAAACACGAAAGUGGACGUAUACGGUGUGACGCCUGCCCGGUGCCGGAAGGUUAAUUGAUGGGGUUAGCGGUAACGCGAAGCUCUUGAUCGAAGCCCCGGUAAACGGCGGCCGUAACUAUAACGGUCCUAAGGUAGCGAAAUUCCUUGUCGGGUAAGUUCCGACCUGCACGAAUGGCGUAAUGAUGGCCAGGCUGUCUCCACCCGAGACUCAGUGAAAUUGAACUCGCUGUGAAGAUGCAGUGUACCCGCGGCAAGACGGAAAGACCCCGUGAACCUUUACUAUAGCUUGACACUGAACAUUGAGCCUUGAUGUGUAGGAUAGGUGGGAGGCUUUGAAGUGUGGACGCCAGUCUGCAUGGAGCCGACCUUGAAAUACCACCCUUUAAUGUUUGAUGUUCUAACGUUGGCCCGUAAUCCGGGUUGCGGACAGUGUCUGGUGGGUAGUUUGACUGGGGCGGUCUCCUCCUAAAGAGUAACGGAGGAGCACGAAGGUUGGCUAAUCCUGGUCGGACAUCAGGAGGUUAGUGCAAUGGCAUAAGCCAGCUUGACUGCGAGCGUGACGGCGCGAGCAGGUGCGAAAGCAGGUCAUAGUGAUCCGGUGGUUCUGAAUGGAAGGGCCAUCGCUCAACGGAUAAAAGGUACUCCGGGGAUAACAGGCUGAUACCGCCCAAGAGUUCAUAUCGACGGCGGUGUUUGGCACCUCGAUGUCGGCUCAUCACAUCCUGGGGCUGAAGUAGGUCCCAAGGGUAUGGCUGUUCGCCAUUUAAAGUGGUACGCGAGCUGGGUUUAGAACGUCGUGAGACAGUUCGGUCCCUAUCUGCCGUGGGCGCUGGAGAACUGAGGGGGGCUGCUCCUAGUACGAGAGGACCGGAGUGGACGCAUCACUGGUGUUCGGGUUGUCAUGCCAAUGGCACUGCCCGGUAGCUAAAUGCGGAAGAGAUAAGUGCUGAAAGCAUCUAAGCACGAAACUUGCCCCGAGAUGAGUUCUCCCUGAGACUUAGAGUCUCCUGAAGGAACGUUGAAGACGACGACGUUGAUAGGCCGGGUGUGUAAGCGCAGCGAUGCGUUGAGCUAACCGGUACUAAUGAACCGUGAGGCUUAACCUUACAACGCCGAAGCUGUU